rnacentral:rRNA from 1 species
UACAGAGGGUGCAAACGUUGCUCGGAAUUAUUGGGCGUAAAGCGCGUGUAGGCGGCUUGUUAAGUUGGUUGUGAAAACCCAUGGCUCAACCAUGGAAGGGCGUCCAAAACUGGCAAGCUAGAGUCCCGACGAGGAUGGCGGAAUUCCCAGUGUAGAGGUGAAAUGCGUAGAUAUCUGGAGGAACACCGGUGGCGAAGGCGGCAUCCUGGACCAACACUGACACUGAGGAGCGAAAGCCAGGGGAGCAAACGGG